rnacentral:tRNA from 1 species
GGGCCCAUAGCUCAGUUUGGUAGAGCUCCCGGCUCAUAACCGGAUGGUCCCUGGUUCGAGGCCAGGUGGGCCCA